rnacentral:rRNA from 1 species
UACGUAGGUGGCAAGCGUUGUCCGGAUUUAUUGGGUUUAAAGGGUGCGUAGGCGGCCCUGUAAGUCAGUGCUGAAAUAUCCCAGCUUAACUGGGAGGGUGGCAUUGAUACUGCGGGGCUAGAGUACAGAUGAGGUAGGCGGAAUUGACGGUGUAGCGGUGAAAUGCUUAGAUAUCGUCAAGAACACCUAUAGCGAAGGCAGCUUACUAGGCUGAAACUGACGCUGAGGCACGAAAGUGUGGGGAUCAAACAGG